rnacentral:rRNA from 1 species
GACGAACGCUGGCGGCGUGCUUAACACAUGCAAGUCGAACGGAAAGGCCUCUUUCGGGGGGUACUCGAGUGGCGAACGGGUGAGUAACACGUGAGUAACCUGCCCUUGACUUUGGGAUAACUUCAGGAAACUGGGGCUAAUACCGGAUAGGAGCUCCUGCUGCAUGGUGGGGGUUGGAAAGUUUCGGCGGUUGGGGAUGGACUCGCGGCUUAUCAGCUUGUUGGUGGGGUAGUGGCUUACCAAGGCGUUGCCGGGUAGCCGGCCUGAGAGGGUGACAGGCGGCAGUGGGGCUUAGAGGCGGCACAGACUCCGACGGGAGGCAGCAGUGGGGAAUAUUGCAGAAUGGGUGGAGGCUGGAUGCUGCAGCGCCGUGGGCGGGAUGACUGCCUUCGGGUUGUAAACCGCUUUCGCUCAUGACGAAGCUUUGUGUGACGGUAGCGGGUAAAGAAGCACCGGCUAACUACGUG